AAAUACUAAAGGAAGGAUACCGAUAGCUAUCUGCCAGAGGACAAGGCUGCUAUUCAAGUAACCAAAAAGAGGAAGCAUCAUUCUGGAAUACAGGAAUUCAGGACAGGAAAUGAAGCACAAGAAUGUGCAACAUCAAUGGCAUGCUGCAGGGAGGCUGGAUGUAACUGCAGAGCAAAGUUCAGAUACAAAAACUUCUCGAUCAGCUGUGGAUAUAGUCUGGGGAGGUAAUCCUGAAGAGGUACAUUUUUAGGGCAGAGAGAUCAAGGAGACCUCUAGUGCUUUUCAUUGCUAUGGAAGCAGAAAGAUGGUGGAAACAUGGGAGAUUACCUGAUGAGCAGGUGCUGAAACCACCAGAGAUAACAGCCGGAAAAAUGAGCACGGGAGCAGGAUCAACAGAAGGCCUCUGUAGAUGAAUGCUCUUCCAGUCUGAUCUUCAACACUGAGAAAUGUAUACUGAAAAAUGUAUGCUGAUCAUUAAGUGAGAAGUCAUGGCAAGUGUCAGGAAGGCAAGAACAAGAAAAUAAAUAUUGCAUAAAAGAAAAGUGUUCACCAAAAACUGGCAACUAAAUCUGAGCCUUAAUAGAAAACCACAGACUUAGAGCAGAAUUUUCUUUCUGUGUUACAAAUAAAAUGUAAGUCUUAAUUAAAGCUUAACAUGUUUCUGCUAAA